GAUCAGGGUGAUGCGUGUGUGGGUACACACACAUGUCCCAUGUGAGUUGGUUUCCAACUCACCUCAGUGUUCACUUCCUGGAACAUAAUUGCCUGGAGUCAUGAGAAUGGACUGUAUUUUCUUUCUGGCCAUCCAGGAAAAAGAAUAUAAGCUCUAAAAAUCAUCCUAUGAUUUUAUCCUUCUACUUUCUGAAGCAAAUUCAUUAGCUCUUCAUUGGCCUGAAAAGUGACAUGACUUAGUAUUUUCAGUAAAUCUGUAACUGAGAAAAUAACUUUACACGCUGUAAAGAAUUAAACAAGAGUGAAUUGUUUCUGUCUUCAGUGCUCAGGUGUGACAGCAAUACCUGUCAUUAUUAAUUUCCACCAUCGACACGUGUUUAAUCCACAUGUCAUCUUGUUCAUCUUGUUCAUCUGUCACAUGUCACAUGUUCAUCUGUGUUCUUCACAGAGUAAAAGCCGCCACCAGUCUGUGCGAAUCGGAACUGCAUGGAAAACCCAAUUACUCAGCAGGUACUUAGAACAUUUCUUAUCUGAUCUUUUCCACGUGGGUAAAAUGUGUUUCUGCCCUUGGAGAGCUUCCCUGCCCAAUGGAGAUGUUGGCGUAUUCCAUGGAAAAGCCAUUUUGCAGAGACUUAGUGUCUGUCCUGCUGUGGACAAGUGCUGUUCCUGGGCUCUGUUCUGUGCAUUUCUGAGGAGCCGAUGGGUCCUGCCUUGCUGAGAACAAGCAACCGUCUUCCAGGAGCUCCUCAGCUCGCACUGUGACAGCUUCCUCCCCCUCUAAACCCCAACAGGAAGGAGCAGCAGAGAGAGCGGCGUUUUGGUGCUCAGGGAACAGACUGACGCUGGCCGAUGGGCACAGGUUCCUGCCAGGGCCCCAUGCCUGUGCCUCCGGGGUGGCCCCGACCUUGUCCUCGACCCCAAGGGGGGCUCAGGGGACAGGGAGGAGGAGCAGCACAGGAUGCUGAGCAGGGCCUCUGGAGUGACAGGGCGGAGGGAGACUCCAGGACCCACAAAGCCCCUGCCCUGGACAGCAGGAAAGCACAGUGAGGAUGGUGCCAGGCCAAGGCUGCAGCCCAGCAAGAAUGACCCACCCUCCCUGCGCCCCAUGCCCCGCGGCUCCUGCCUGCCCUACCCGUGUGUCCAGGGCACUUUCAGGAACUCACCCAUCUCUCACCCGCUGAGCCCGUCCCCCAGUGCCUACUCCAGCCGGACCAGCAGACCCAUGCGGGAUGUCGGUGAGGACCAGGUGCACCCUCCCCUCUGCCACUUUCCCCAGGGGAGCCUGCAGCACCGGCUCCCUCAGCCUGGAGCUCAGCGUUUUGCCACGAGGGGCUAUCCCAUGGAGGACGUGAAGCUGCAAGGUGUACCGAUGCCUCCGGGGGACCUGUGCGGUCCGACGCUGCUGCUAGAUGUGCCCAUCAAGAUGGAGAAGGACUCUGGGUCUGAGGAUGCUGCAGAUGGCUAUGUGCCCAGCCAGGUGUGGCUGGGGGCCACUGACAGGAGCCAUCCAGCCACCUUCCCUACCAGGAUGCACCUGAAAACAGAGCCAGACUCUCGGCAACAGGUGUACAUCUCGCACCUGGGGCACGGCGUGCGGGGGGCUCAGCCCCAGGGGAGGGCCACUGCUGGGCGCAGCAGGGAGCUGACCCCUUUCCACCCUGCACACUGUGCUUGCCUGGAGCCCACGCACGGCCUUCCCCAGCCGGAGCCUCCCCACCAGCUCUGUGCACGGGGCCGAGGUGAACAGUCCUGCGCCUGCAGAGCUGCUGAGGCUGCCCCUGUGGUCAAGCGGGAGCCCUUGGAUUCGCCCCACUGGGCUACUCACAGCCAGGGAGUGGUGCCCGGGAUGUUUCCCAAAAGUGCCUUGGCCACGCUGGUCCCGCCCCAAGCUUCGGAGUGCACAUUCCUGCCAUAGCGCAGUGACCACCGUCCAAGCUCAGAUCUGUCCGUCUACACUCAGAUGCGUUGGUGGCUGGGCUGCCCUGCACCUGGUCAGACCGGAGCCCGUCCUAAGACACACGCUUUGCAGAGCUGUGCAUGCGCAGUCUGCUAGUCUGUGUGUGCAGCAUACACAGUAGCCUAUCCUGAAUUCUGUAAAAUAUCCCAACAGUUCUUAAAUGAAAACUGGCCUUAAAUCUGUUCAAGCAUGACAGCAUUUCUCUUUGAGAAUUAAAAUCUUUGGGAAAGUG
rnacentral:sRNA from 1 species